CCUACGGGUGGCUGCAGUGAGGAAUAUUGGUCAAUGGGCGUAAGCCUGAACCAGCCAAGUCGCGUGAGGGAUGAAGGUUCUAUGGAUCGUAAACCUCUUUUAUAAGGGAAUAAAGUGCGGGACGUGUCCCGUUUUGUAUGUACCUUAUGAAUAAGGAUCGGCUAACUCCGUGCCAGCAGCCGCGGUAAUACGGAGGAUUCGAGCGUUAUCCGGAUUUAUUGGGUUUAAAGGGUGCGUAGGUGGUUAAUUAAGUCAGCGGUGAAAGUUUGGGGCUCAACCAUAAAAUUGCAGUUGAAACUGUUUGGCUUGAGUGUAGUUGAGGUAGGCGGAAUGCGUGGUGUAGCGGUGAAAUGCGUAGAUAUCACGCAGAACUCCGAUUGCGAAGGCAGCUUACUGGACUAUAACUGACACUGAGGCACGAAAGCGUGGGGAUCAAACAGGAUUAGAUACCCCAGUAGUC
rnacentral:rRNA from 1 species